rnacentral:rRNA from 1 species
UACGUAGGGUCCGAGCGUUGUCCGGAAUUAUUGGGCGUAAAGGGCUCGUAGGCGGUUUGUCGCGUCGGGCGUGAAAACACGGGGCUUAACCCCGUGCCUGCUUCCGAUACGGGCAGACUAGAGGUAUGCAGGGGAGAACGGAAUUCCUGGUGGAGCGGUGAAAUGCGCAGAUAUCAGGAGGAACACCGGUGGCGAAGGCGGUUCUCUGGGCAUUACCUGACGCUGAGGAGCGAAAGUGUGGGGAGCGAACAGG